GAUGAACGCUGGCGGCGUGCCUAACACAUGCAAGUCGAACGGGGUUAAGGGAAAUUUUCGGAUGGAACUUAACUUAGUGGCGGACGGGUGAGUAACGCGUGGAUAACCUGCCUCACACUGGGGGAUAGCAGCUGGAAACGGCUGGUAAUACCGCAUAAGACCACAGCACCGCAUGGUGCAGGGGUAAAAGAUUUAUCGGUGUGAGAUGGAUCCGCGUCUGAUUAGCCAGUUGGCGGGGUAACGGCCCACCAAAGCGACGAUCAGUAGCCGGCCUGAGAGGGUGAACGGCCACAUUGGGACUGAGACACGGCCCAAACUCC
rnacentral:rRNA from 1 species